GAUCGAUUGAUGCUGACUGCUCUGCAUUCUGAUCCCGCAGGUGUCUGUCCAUUGAUGCCUGAAUAGAAGAAACCAUUUCCUGUAACUUUUUUCGCUGUGCCUCAAUCAAGAUGCCACUUGUGCUUUACCGUAUGUUAACACCGUGCAUACCAAUGGUAUUACCUUUGGAGCAGCCUUCAGAGCUGGGCAGGAUGAAGAGCAGCAUGGGCUGGUUCAAGCAAGGUUGGAGCGCCAUGCAGUCAUUUUGAUUGAGCUUCCAAGCUGUUGUGUGAAAGAAGGGGAUACAUCCCGAUCUCUCAGAGUGUUCCAGUUGUCACCACAGAACAGACUUGCAUGAGCUAUUCAGUAUUACAUGUAGUGCUGGACUGUGAGCAAUAAGACAGCAUUUUAGUGCUGGUGGGGCCCUGUGGCUUAGGAACCAUCCACCAACAAAGACUUUGCAGCACUGCCUGAGCCAGUUCUGUUCACUGCAAUUCUCAUAUUAGACCUGCAAAAUUUACAAUAUCAGAAAAGCAGCAAAAAUUGGCAUUUUUGUGGCAUUUCCUUUAUAUUCUCUUGCAAUUCUUGAGGAAAAAAGCAGAAAUUAUUCAAGGGUAGAAAAAUACAGAAAACCACUAUUUCUUUAUGUCAGACAGAAUGAAGUCAAGCAAAUAUUUUGGUGGCAUCAACAAAAAAGGCACUAAAAUCAUUUUAAAUAUGUUAAUUUCAUUGUUUAACAUUGAAAACAGAAAAGACGAUGACAACUAUAAAAAGAUGAUCACUUAUUACAGAUCAAGUUAGUCAAUAUAGGGGCCUAUUGGCUGAAAAUACCCUCCAUUGCUACUGGUCCAGAGACCUGCAGCUGCAGAGAGAUGGCAGGCCAAAUUCGGUCUUCAGAAGAGUUACAUGCACACAACUCCCAUGAUGCCAAUGGGAGAUACACACCUUCAGAAAUAACCAAGAGCAGAAUUUGGCCUCAAAUUGCUACCCUCCUCAGUGGCCUCUAAGGGUUUCAGGAAUUAAACAUCUCUGUCUUUCCUACAGCGCAGUCAGACUUAACACACCUGGAGAUACACACACACACACACACAAAUAAAUCAAUAGUGUCAGGUUCUUGACA